UACGUAGGGUGCAAGCGUUGUCCGGAAUUAUUGGGCGUAAAGAGCUCGUAGGCGGUUUGUUGCGUCGGCUGUGAAAUCCCGAGGCUCAACCUCGGGUCUGCAGUCGAUACGAGCAAACUAGAGUGUUGCAGGGGAGACUGGAAUUCCUGGUGUAGCGGUGAAAUGCGCAGAUAUCAGGAGGAACACCGGUGGCGAAGGCGGGUCUCUGGGCAACAACUGACGCUGAGGAGCGAAAGCGUGGGGAG
rnacentral:rRNA from 2 species